rnacentral:tRNA from 1 species
GGGGGAAGGGCUCAAGUGGAAGAGCGCAUGCUUAGCAUGUAUGAGGUCCUGGGUUCAAUCCCCAGUACCUCCA